rnacentral:tRNA from 1 species
GGCCCCGUAGCUCAGUUGGAUAGAGCAGCGGUUUCCUAAACCGCGUGCCGUCGGUUCAAUUCCGGCCGGGGCCACCA